AUUAGGGUUCGAUUCCGGAGAGGGAGCCUGAGAAACGGCUACCACAUCUAAGGAAGGCAGCAGGCGCGCAAAUUACCCAAUCCUAAUACAGGGAGGUAGUGACAAGAAAUAACAAUACAGGACUUUUUGGUUUUGUAAUUGGAAUGAGUUAAGUAUAAACCCCUUUACAAGUAUCAAUUGGAGGGCAAGUCUGGUGCCAGCAGCCGCGGUAAUUCCAGCUCCAAUAGCGUAUAUUAAAGUUGUUGCAGUUAAAAAGCUCGUAGUUGGAUUUCUGUUAAUAAUUUAUAUAAAAUAUUUUGAAUAUUUAUAUAACAUUAACAUAAUUCAUAUUACUAUAUUUUUUAGUAUAUGAAAUUUUACUUUGAGAAAAUUAGAGUGCUUAAAGCAGGCAUAUGCCUUGAAUACUCCAGCAUGGAAUAAUAUUAAAGAUUUUUAUCUUUCUUAUUGGUUCUAAGAUAAGAAUAAUGAU
rnacentral:rRNA from 1 species